GACGAACGCUGGCGGCGUGCUUAACACAUGCAAGUCGAACGGUGAAGCGCCUUCCUUUUUGGUGGGUGUGGAUGAGUGGCGAACGGGUGAGUAACACGUGAGUAACCUGCCCCCUUCUUCUGGAUAACCGCAUGAAAGUGUGGCUAAUACGGGAUAUUCUGGGUCUGUCGCAUGAUGGGUCUGGGAAAGAUAUUGUUUCGGUGGGGGAUGGGCUCGCGGCCUAUCAGCUUGUUGGUGGGGUGAUGGCCUACCAAGGCGGUGACGGGUAGCCGGCCUGAGAGGGUGGACGGUCACACUGGGACUGAGACACGGCCCAGACUCCUACGGGAGGCAGCAGUGGGGAAUAUUGCACAAUGGGCGCAAGCCUGAUGCAGCGACGCCGCGUGAGGGAUGGAGGCCUUCGGGUUGUGAACCUCUUUCGCCAGUGAAGCAGGCCUGCCUCGUUUGUGGGUGGGUUGACGGUAGCUGGAGAAGAAGCGUCGGCUAACUACGUG
rnacentral:rRNA from 1 species